rnacentral:lncRNA from 13 species
CGGGGGUUGCCGGGACCGGAGGGAGAAAGCUGGGGGAGUUGGUGUUUAAUAGGGGCAGAGAUUCAGCUGGGGAAAAUGAAGUAGUUCUGGAGAUGGAUGGCGGUGUGGCUUGUGAUCCUUCUUAAAUGCCACUGUGACGUAACACGAUGUGAACAUUCUUAAAUGCCACUCAGCUGUGCACUUAAAAGUGGCUAAAAUGCUGGGUGUGGUGGCUCAUGCCUGUAAUCCCAGCACUCAGGGAGGCUGAGGUGGGUGGAUCACCUGAGGUCAGGAGUUCCAGACCAGCCUGGGCAACAUGAACACGUUUGCCAACCCCUGCACGCUGGAGUCCAAGACCAGAAGUCCUGCAGUUCACUUCCGGCUACACGUCCUGCCUCACAGGUCCUGGCUCAGUUAUCUGCUCUAGGGACACCCCCUGUUGUUUUGGGCAGAAUGG